AUAUUUCAGGACGUUUACAUCUAUCCAUCUAGAGAUGAAAAAGAAAUAACAUCUGCCAAAAAUGGAAGUGACCACAUUCCAUUUUCUUCAUUUUCACACCUCCAGGAGCCACUGAAAGUAGAAUCAAGGAUCUCUAUUUUAGGUGCACAUAGCUAACAUUGCUGCUUUUAGCUGUGUACCCAAAUAGCUUAAAAUCUGGCCCUAAAGAUUCCAAGUUUCUUAGAAGGCCCUCUCUCUCCGGACAUCACCUUGCAUUAACAUAUAUAUUACCUUAGCGUCUCUGAAUCUUGAAAUGAGAUUCUGGACUGAAAUCUGAAUCAAGAAGCUUGUGAAGUAGCCUUGGCACUUGCUAUAUUGGCAAAGACACUGCAGAACUCCCUGACAAGGUUUUCUGAAACUCAGAAGACUGCCAACAGAGGUCCUGCUGAAGUCGCCACCAGUGUGGGGCAGAUGUGGUUGAGUCACUGUAGCUCUGUGAGGUGGUACUUUAGCUGACCUGCCAAGGGUCUUCACUCCAUUGUAAAACAAUGAUUUUCACUCAGAUGUCCAUGGUCUGCAGUCAGAAAAUGAUCCUAGGCUGUAAGGCCAGGAUAGUUUGAUGCUUUGACACAGAAAGAAAAGAAGAUAAAAUAUUUCAGUCAGCACCAAGGAGAAGCUACCCUAAAUUGCAUUUAAAAUAAAAUCAAG
rnacentral:lncRNA from 7 species